GAUCCUGGCUCAGGAUGAACGCUAGCUACAGGCUUAACACAUGCAAGUCGAGGGGCAGCAUGGUCUUAGCUUGCUAAGACUGAUGGCGACCGGCGCACGGGUGAGUAACACGUAUCCAACCUGCCGUCUACUCUUGGACAGCCUUCUGAAAGGAAGAUUAAUACAAGAUGGCAUCAUGAGUCCGCAUGUUACAUGNUAAGUUAAGUCUUCGGAGA
rnacentral:rRNA from 1 species